GAUGAACGCUGGCGGCGUGCCUAAUACAUGCAAGUCGAGCGAACAGAUGAGGAGCUUGCUCCUCUGACGUUAGCGGCGGACGGGUGAGUAACACGUGGAUAACCUACCUAUAAGACUGGGAUAACUUCGGGAAACCGGAGCUAAUACCGGAUAAUAUAUUGAACCGCAUGGUUCAAUAGUUAAAGACGGUUUUGCUUUCACUUAUAGAUUGAUCCGCGCCGCAUUAGCUAGUUGGUAAGGUAACGGCUUACCAAGGCAACGAUUCGUAGCCGACCUGAGAGGGUGAUCGGCUACACUGGAACUGAGACACGGUCCAGACUCCUACGGGAGGCAGCAGUAGGGAAUCUUCCGCAAUGGGCGAAAGCUUGACGGAGCAACGCCGCGUGAGUGAUGAAGGUCUUCGGAUCGUAAAACUCUGUUAUUAGGGAAGAACAAAUGUGUAAGUAACUAUGCACGUAUUGACGGUACCUAAUCAGAAAGCCACGGCUAACUACGUG
rnacentral:rRNA from 1 species